rnacentral:rRNA from 1 species
AGGAAUUGGCGGGGGAGCACCGCNACGGGAGGAACGUGCGGUUUAAUUGGAUUCAACACCGGAAAACUCACCAGCAGCGACUGUUACAUGAAAGUCAGGCCGAUGACCUUACUAGAUUUUCAGAGAGGUGGUGCAUGGCCGUCGUCAGUUCGUACCGUAAGGCGUUCUCUUAAGUGAGAUAACGAACGAGACCCUCACCAAUAAUUGCUACUGCAUCGUCCGCGAUGUAGGCACAUUAUUGGGACCGCUGGCGCUAAGUCAGAGGAAGGAGAGGUCAACGGUAGGUCAGUAUGCCCCGAAUCUGCUGGGCUACACGCGCGUUACAAAGGGCGGGACAAUGGGCUCCGACGCCGAAAGGCGAAGGCAAUCUCGAAACCCGUCCGUAGUUCGGAUUGAGGGUUGUAACUCACCCUCAUGAAGCUGGAUUCCGUAGUAAUCGCGAAUCAACAACUCGCGGUGAAUAUGUCCCUGCUCCUUGCACACA